CAACCUGAAUUAAAUUUGUCUUUGACUUUAAGAGGCUAACACAGAAGGGUAAAGGAACUCUCCAUAAAACCCAUGGAGGAGACUGUACACCUCCUCUUUGGAUCCUGUCUGGAGUCACAGAU